rnacentral:lncRNA from 1 species
UAUAGUUAAGUGGUAAGUUUUAUUCCUUGUUUGUUGUGUUUGAAAGGUAGUGUAUUUGUAUUUGGCGUAUAGAAUUCGUCAUAAUAAAGGUGUGUAUGAUUUAGCCUGAUGAGAUGUUUGAAAUGCAAAGAUUUUUGUUAGAAAAGAUUGUAUUUCGUUGGGAAGUGUCAGCUCUGUUAAGGUUAAAGUUCUAUUUGGUGUAAGGAUGAAAG